GCUGGCGGCAGGCUUAACACAUGCAAGUCGAGCGGGGGAAGGUAGCUUGCUACUGGACCUAGCGGCGGACGGGUGAGUAAUGCUUAGGAAUCUGCCUAUUAGUGGGGGACAACAUCUCGAAAGGGAUGCUAAUACCGCAUACGUCCUACGGGAGAA
rnacentral:rRNA from 1 species